GGAGCUGUGGCUCAGUGGUAGAGCAUCUGCUUGGUAUGCAGGAGGUCCCAGGUUCGAUCCCUGGUAUCUCCA